rnacentral:rRNA from 1 species
UGGGGAAUUUUGGACAAUGGGCGAAAGCCUGAUCCAGCGACGCCGCGUGAGGGACGAAGCCCUUCGGGGUGUAAACCUCUGUUGUGAGGGACGAAUAAGAUCUGGAGGAAAUGCCAGAUCGAUGACGGUACCUCACGAGAAAGCCCCGGCUAACUACGUGCCAGCAGCCGCGGUAAUACGUAGGGGGCGAGCGUUACCCGGAUUCACUGGGCGUAAAGGGGGCGCAGGCGAUCCAGUAUGUCGGGUGUGAAAUCCCACAGCUCAACUGUGGAAUUGCGCCCGAAACUACUGGGUUUGGGGCUGGUAGAGGGAGACGGAACUGCUGGUGUAGGGGUGAAAUCCGUAGAUAU